ACACCGGCAGCUCAAGUGGUAGCCGCUUUUAUUGGGCCUAAAGCGUCCGUAGCCGGUCUGAUAAGUCUCUGGUGAAAUCCCACAGCUUAACUGUGGGAAUUGCUGGAGAUACUAUCAUGACUCGAGGUCGGGAGAGGCUGGAGGUACUCCCAGGGGAGGGGGGAAAUCCUGUAAUCCUGGGAGGACCACCUGUGGCGAAGGCGUCCAGCUGGAACGAACCUGACGGUGAGGGACGAAAGCCAGGGGCGCGAACCGGAUUAGAUACCCGGGUAGUCCUGGCCGUAAACGAUGUGGACUUGGUGUUGGGAUGGCUUCGAGCUGCCCCAGUGCCGAAGGGAAGCUGUUAAGUCCACCGCCUGGGAAGUACGGCCGCAAGGCUGAAACUUAAAGGAAUUGACGGGG
rnacentral:rRNA from 1 species